rnacentral:lncRNA from 10 species
CCGCCACUUCCGCCUGGGGUUGUCUGGUGAUGCCCCCAGGAGAGACGCGCCCACUGAAAAGCCAGCGUGGUGUCCUCUUACACGGUCCUUAACAAACUCUGGGACUCUGGGGGUGCAGGAAAUACCACAGGACCGUCAUUACUCCCAUACCGGCUGAGUCACAACUGUAUUGCAGGAGGCUUCUUGGAACGCCUAUGUAACUUUAAUGGAAGUGACCAGGUACAGAUCUUCUACAGCAAGGAAGGAAUCUUAGUGCUAGAAUUCAGUUGAGCCUUUGAGUUGGCUCUUCUUAUAAGUGAGCAAACAAGUAACAAGGUUUAGGGGGCGCCCAUUUUUGUGUUAGCACGAUUGCCCUCGUGUUUAAUAUUUCCCAAGCCCUAUUAUGAUAAGGAGUUGGACUUAAUGAAGAACCAUGUUGUCAAACAUCUUAUGCCCAUCUUGAAGUUGUGAAGGAGGAUGAGCACCAAGAAAAGGAAAUAAAUAAAAUCCAAUACGGGCCGGGUGCGGUAGCUCACGCCUGUAAUCUUAGCAGUUUGGGAGGCCAAGGCAGGCAGAACUCUUGAGCCCAGAAAUUCAAGACCAGCCUAGGCAGCAUAGUGAGACCCCGUCUCUACAAAAAAUAUAAUUAGCUGGGCGUGGUGGCAAACACCUGUAGUCCCAGCUACUUGGGAGGCUGGAGUGGGAGGAUCACCUGAGCCCUGGAGGUCAAGGCUGCAGUGAGCUAUGAUCACGCCACUGCAGUACAGCGUGGGUGACAGAGCAAGACCCUUUCUUGGGGAAAAAAGUCCCAUAUAACUUUCCUUGAUGACCCCACCCUCACCCCUCACUGUGUCAUUAUGCCAAGAGAGCUUUGGGCAUUCUAAAGAAGUAUGAGGAAUACUUGACCAAUAACCAAAGUAUAGUUAUUUAUUUGUUAAUGACUUCUUUCCUAGACUGUGAGUUACUUUAGAGCAGAGACUUAUUUUUCCCUGUAUCCCUAGGGUGUGGCACAUAGUAGGUGCUUAGUAAACUUAUUUUGCAUUCAAUAAUGCCAAGUAGAAUAAUUCAUAGAUUAUGGCAAAAUAAAAGAAUUUGGCAAAAUUGCAAGAUUGAAGAUUGCUUUCAGAAAAAAUGUUCCAACCCCUGUUCAAAAGUACAUAGCUUGCUGUGUUGUUGAAGUGCCAGCACGAGGAGGACCAUGCCAACACAUCCAUUUAUUGCCCAUUCUGGGUGUGUUGAGCGUUUUAAGUUUGCUAUGCUUGUAAAAAUCAAGGAAUGGCAAUGGUAUCAACUUUCAUGAACACAGUCGUUCAGCUGAACCAAGUAUCAGUGAUAACUUCUGUUUUGAAUUUUAGAAAUAUAUCUCUGAGGUUAGAAUGUUGAUUCAUGCAUAUUCCAGCUGGCUUUCCCUAUGAGUAUAAAUAGGGAAAACAAGGCUAUUGGCCCAAAUGUAAGUUGUAUUCCAAGGUUUGGUCCAAAGACCAGAGAAUCCCUAAGUAGGAAGACAGUUUUGUUUUCCCCUCUUUUACUGGUUAACUUUGAGCAGGUCACUUAUAUUUGGGGGCACAGAAGAUGAAGAUGACCCUGAGCUUGUCAUGUUCACUGUUAAUUGUUCUACUAACACCCUAGACUUCAUCAUCUUGUUAUAGCACUUAUCACAGUUGCUUUUAAAUCAUCAUGCAGUUAUAUGUUUAUUGUCUGCCUUUUCCACUAGAAUAAAGCCUCUGCUGACAUAAGGUCUAUGUUUGUCUUGUUAAUUGCUCUCCCUACCA